rnacentral:lncRNA from 1 species
UCUGGAAUCAAUAUGUCAUGAUGGAUUUUUAAAAAUCCGAACCCGAACCGUCUCCAAACCAGAGAUCCGAACCCGACGAAUUUUUAAAAUCCAUAUCCAAACUCGAAGAUCAAAAAUCUGAAACCCAAAUUCGAACCUGAACCCGAAAAUUCAAAUCCAAAAUAAUUAUUUCUUUUUCAAUAUUUCAAAAUAUAUUACAUUAAAUCUAAAUUUUUAAAAUACAAAUUCAAAUAUUGCAUCAAAUAUAUAUAUAUAUAUAUAUAGAGAGAAAGCGAGCGAGCGAGAGAGAGAGAGAGAGAGAGAGAGAGAGAGAGAGAGAGAGUGAGUCCGGCUACUAUACUCUUAUGAGUACGAUCGCUCUCGUACUCAUAAGUCGUUUUCGAUGAUAAAGCUUCCGAAUCGACGAUUCAUACCGUUAAAUAUUAUCUAGAGUAUUAAAAACUUCUAGAAAUCAAAUUUUAUAAUUUUUUGACAUCAUUUACCUUACGAUCAAAAUAUCACAAAAUUGACAAUUUUUAACGACCAGUAUGAGAUACUUAGUAGUUUAACGAUAUAAAAGUAUCGGAAUCGGUUGAAUUUUUGAUAAAAAAUUCUAUACACUACCUAGAUAAAUAUCAAUAACUCCGAUCUUAAAUUGAAGAUUCCGAUCAUUCAUUUUUAGGACGUCGUUCGAUUUCGACCAUUCAUUUUAUGCCCGCUUGAUAGACUUUAUUAUGAUUUCAAAAAAUUAUGAAAUUUAUUUUUUAGAAGUUUCAAACACUCUAGAUCAUAUUUAACGGAUUGGAUCGUCGAUUCGGAGGCUCCAUCAUCGAAAAUAACUUAUGAGUACGAAGGACCCAAUACUCGUAAGAGUAUAGUAGCCCUAUUAUUUAUAU